rnacentral:rRNA from 1 species
GACGAACGCUGGCGGCGUGCUUAACACAUGCAAGUCGAACGGAAAGGCCCUGCUUUUGUGGGGUGCUCGAGUGGCGAACGGGUGAGUAACACGUGAGUAACCUGCCCUUGACUUUGGGAUAACUUCAGGAAACUGGGGCUAAUACCGGAUAGGAGCUCCUGCUGCAUGGUGGGGGUUGGAAAGUUUCGGCGGUUGGGGAUGGACUCGCGGCUUAUCAGCUUGUUGGUGGGGUAGUGGCUUACCAAGGCUUUGACGGGUAGCCGGCCUGAGAGGGUGACCGGCCACAAUGGGACUGAGAUACGGACCAGACUCCAACGUGAGGCAGCAGGGGGGAAUAUGGCACAAUGGGCGGAAGCCUGAGGCAGCAACGCCGCGUGCGGGAUGACGGGCUUCGAGUGGUAAACCGCUUUCGCAGGUGACGAAGCGGGAGUGACGGUAAUGGGUAAAGAAGCACCGGCUAACUACGUG